rnacentral:rRNA from 1 species
UAUCUCUGUAGAGUCUGCAUAUCAAUAAGCGGAGGAAAAGAAACUAACAAGGAUUCCCCUAGUAACGGCGAGUGAAGCGGGAAGAGCUCAAAUUUGGAAUCUUCAAGGUUUGACCUUGACGAAUUGUAGUUUAAAGAAGUGUUUUCGGUUAGAGGAGUGGUAAAAGUUCUUUGGAAUAGGACAUCAUAGAGGGUGAGAAUCCCGUAUUUGACCAUUCUUUCUAGCUUUGUGAUACACUUUCAAAGAGUCGGAUUGUUUGGGAAUGCAGUCCAAAAUGGGUGGUAAAUUUCAUCUAAAGCUAAAUAUUGGCGAGAGACCGAUAGCGAACAAGUACCGUGAGGGAAAGAUGAAAAGAACUUUGAAAAGAGAGUUAAACAGUACGUGAAAUUGUCCAAAAGAGAGGAAGCGUUUGACACCAGUGUUGUUUUCUCGAAAAUCAAUUAAAAGAGUGGAUUCAUGCUAGUUGUAUUGACCUUAUCAGCUUGCAAUUUAGUUUUGGGUUUCUUUUUGAUGCACUUUUCGGUUAACAAGUCAACAUCAAUUUCCUUUGCUGUAAAAAGGCAGGAGGAAGGUGGCUUCAAUUUCGGUUGAAGUGUUUAUAGCCUUCUGUCUCUGCAGUCGGGGAGAUUGAGGUCUGCAGCGUAGAUCCUUCGGGGCUAGAUACAUUCGUGCUAAGUUAUAACCGUUUAUAGACAACUUGUUGACUAUGAUUCGAUCCUUGUAGAUUUACUCGCUAGUGCUAAUUUUACCUACGCUUAGGAUGUUGAUCUACAGAGCGAGAGU